GACGAACGCUGGCGGCGUGCUUAACACAUGCAAGUCGUACGGUAAGGCCCUUUCGGGGGUACACGAGUGGCGAACGGGUGAGUAACACGUGAGUAACCUGCCCACAACUUUGGGAUAACGCUAGGAAACUGGUGCUAAUACUGGAUAUGUGCUCCUGCUGCAUGGUGGGGGUUGGAAAGCUCCGGCGGUUGUGGAUGGACUCGCGGCCUAUCAGCUUGUUGGUGGGGUAGUGGCCUACCAAGGCGGCGACGGGUAGCCGGCCUGAGAGGGUGACCGGCCACAUUGGGACUGAGAUACGGCCCAGGCUCCUACGGGAGGCAGCAGUGGGGAAUAUUGCACAAUGGGCGCCAGCCUGAUGCAGCAGCGCCGCGUGCGGGAUGACGGCCUUCGGGUUGUAAACCGCUUUCAGCAGGGACGAAGCUUUUUGUGACGGUACCUGCAGAAGAAGCACCGGCUAACUACGUG
rnacentral:rRNA from 1 species